GACGAACGCUGGCGGCGUGCUUAACACAUGCAAGUCGAACGGAAAGGCCCUGCUUUUGUGGGGUGCUCGAGUGGCGAACGGGUGAGUAACACGUGAGUAACCUGCCCUUGACUUUGGGAUAACUUCAGGCAACUGGUGAUAAUACCGGAUAGGAGCUCCUGCUGCAUGGUGGGGGUUGGAAAGCUUCGGCGGUUGGGGAUGGACUCGCGGCUUAUCAGCUUGUUGGUGGGGUAGUGGCUUACCAAGGCUUUGACGGGUAGCCGGCCUGAGAGGGUGACCGGCCACAUUGGGACUGAGAUACGGCCCAGACUCCUACGGGAGGCAGCAGUGGGGAAUAUUGCACAAUGGGCGGAAGCCUGAGGCAGCAACGCCGCGUGCGUGAUGACGGCCUUCGUGUGGUAAACCGCUGUCGCCUGUGACGAAGCGUGAGUGACGGUAAUGGGUAAAGAAGCACCGGCUAACUACGUG
rnacentral:rRNA from 1 species